rfam:Schistosoma mansoni strain Puerto Rico chromosome 3, complete genome
AUGAAGCUGAUGGGUCCCAAAUAGGACGAAAUGUACGUCCUAGAU